rnacentral:lncRNA from 1 species
CGUUAGACAUGUUUGCGCUUAACACACAUGGUCGUUUUCUGUUGUAGGCGACAUUACUCUCCAGGAGAUAUGCAUUGCAAUGAGGUGGUGAACAGGCCUCUACAGAUUCCUGACAGAAUCACGUAUCCUCUACUGAAUGCGGAAAGUGAGGAGAGGUUUCCUGUGUACAAAUCUCGCGCUCACCGAAUGGACAUGACAUCGGAGGAAGAGCUCGGAGCCUCUGGGAGACGAGAGCCUUACCUGAGGAGGGACAGAGUUUUAGGAGAUACGAUGAACCCUGAAGGAACCACACAAGCUAAUUUUAAGAACUGUGAUAAUCUGCCCCUGACUCCAGCUCUGGCACUUAUGAAAAAGAGAAAUGAUGAGAUUAAAUCGGGACUGUUGAGGAGCAUGCCCAGUGUGUUCACACCGGGACUCAGAACUCCCAACUUUGGCCUGCAGAGGGAGACAUGGAGGUCUCCGUUCAGAAGCCAUAGAAGUGAGGAGGAGCACUGAUAUUAUGCAGGAAACCCCAGACAAUGACAUCAACAGUGUUACAAUAAUUCCCACAUAUUGAAAUAUGUAAAUGUCACUGUAAUAAACAGGGCUGCAGGUAAAAGGGGAUUUUCCUGCUUACAGAGAAUAAAUAUUUAUCAGCAGUGAUGUUACAUUUGAAAAAUAAGGCUAUUAAUACAUGCCUGAUUUAAAUGUGUUAUUGAAAGAUGAGAUGGACUGUCUUUGAAUUUUAAAGGCCAAGUGUUUAUACUGCCUACCGUUUAACAUUUUAACUAGAUUUAUAAAAUCGAAUACCACAAAGAAUUUUAGAGGCUAGCUCGUUUUAUUUAACUAUGCUGUUUAAAGUCAGCAUGAAAUUGUUUGCAGUUCAUUUUACUUUUGUACAUCCAUUGGUCAAAAAGGAAAGUUGUUUCAGAGGUUAUUCAUUUUGCUGAUUGUUUUUCCCUUUGGAAUAAUAUGCACUGAUGAAUCAUUCAAAAUAAGAUUAAAAAUAAAUAAAUAAUAAUAGACUGUAAAAAAGAUGUUUUCAAACUUGUAAAUAAAACUAAAAUUACCGC